GAGGCAACUUUAGAAUUGCUAAUAGCUCCGCGGGAUUGGCUUGCUGAACAUGAACAUCUGAAUCGAAUAAAAUUUUAUAAACCUCAUAUGUAUAACAAGAUCUAUCUCCGUAUCUUCUAGUAGCUGACUAAGCAACGACGAUGUUCCAGUAAAAUUCAAAGAAGAAGAGACUGCAGGGGCAUAUAUAGCUUGAGCCCAGAGGAAGUGACACUAAGUGAACUCAUCCCACAGCUUCAUAUAAAUCCAAGCAACAUGAGAAUCUAUUAUACAUACAAGAAUACAGAUAAAGACUAAUAUCAUAAUAAGGACGGUAGCAUUGUCCGGUAUCCUGGGGACACGAGUCAGCCUCUGAGACAUGCAUCUCACGGUGUUGGCAAGACACAUGCACUUAUGCGGACAUUCCCUGGUAUUAAUUCCACGAGCCUCCAGUACUGCU